ACUAUUUUGACAGAUUAAUGUGUUGAAUUUAGAAUUCAUUAAUGUAGAUUUUUUCUACAAAUAGUAUU
rnacentral:tRNA from 1 species